ACGAACGCUGGCGGCGUGCUUCACACCUGCAAGUCGAACGGAAAGGCCCUGCUUUUGUGGGGUGCUCGAGUGGCGAACGGGUGAGUAACACGUGAGUAACCUGCCCUUGACUUUGGGAUAACUUCAGGAAACUGGGGCUAAUACCGGAUAGGAGCUCCUGCUGCAUAGUGGGGGUUGGAAAGUUUCGGCGGUUGGGGAUGGACUCGCGGCUUAUCAGCUUGUUGGUGGGGUAGUGGCUUACCAAGGCUUUGACGGGUAGCCGGCCUGAGAGGGUGACCGGCCACAUUGGGACUGAGAUACGGCCCAGACUCCUACGGGAGGCAGCAGUGGGGAAUAUUGCACAAUGGGCGGAAGCCUGAUGCAGCAACGCCGCGUGCGGGAUGACGGCCUUCGGGUUGUAAACCGCUUUCGCCUGUGACGAAGCGUGAGUGACGGUAAUGGGUAAAGAAGCACCGGCUAACUACGUG
rnacentral:rRNA from 1 species